GCAUUAUGCCAGGUGAUACUUGGGAUCAAAGGAAUAAACACAAGUAUGUCUAGAAGGAUAAUUCAGCCACAAUAACAGAACUGUUUUAAACAAUUAGGCAUUUAUUGGUGCACAUACAUGGAAGUCCAAAUUGAGAUCAACUCAGGUUUGUUUUGCUCAACAUUAACGAUGCAUGAUUUUUCAGAUUCAUCCUAAACCUUCUUUCCCCCUUCUGGAAAAGGGGGAAAGAGGAGGGAGAGAGAGAAAGACCACAGGUGGCUGCCAGUAACAAAGAUAAUAGCAGGAGAAAGAGUAAAGAGGAAGACCCUUCCCAGAGCCUUUAGCACUCUUCUUGCUUCUCAGUGGCCGUAACUGGGUCACACACCUGUUCCUGAGCCAUGGACUUAACCUCAUAGACGUUCAGCCCCUCCCCUCACACUGAGGGUGGGGAGGACUUCCCCUGAAGCAAGCGGACUGUGUUGAGGAGGGGAAGCCCUCGAAACAUAUAGAGGUUCUGCUGAAAAGGAAGGGACUAGGAGCUAGCGGCUGAAGGAGGAGCUAGGAAGCAGCCAUAGCAUUCAAGUUGUAAUUUAUAAUGAAAGUCUGCUGCUGCUGCUGCUAAGUCGCUUCAGUUGUGUCCAACUCUGUGCGACCCCAGAGACAGCAGCCCACCAGGCUCCCCCGUCCCUGGGAUCCUCCAGGCAAGAACACUGGAGUGGGUUGCCACUGCCUUCUCCAAUGCAGGAAAGUGAAAAGUGAAAGUGAAGUCACUCAGUCGUGUCCGACUCUUAGCGACCCCAUGGACUGCAGCCCACCAGGCUCCUCCGUCCAUGGGAUUUUCCAGGCAAGAGUACUGGAGUGGGGUGCCAUUGCCUUCUCCGAUAAUGAAAGUCUAGAGCUUAAUUAAAAAAAAAAAAAAAGUGCCUGUCAAUAUACCUCUACUGAGAGCUUCGCUGGUGGCUCACACAGUAAAGAGUCUGCCUGCAAUGCAGGAGACCUGGGUUCAACCCCUGGGUUGGGAAGAUCUCCUAGAGAAGGAAAGGGCAACCCACUUCAGUAUCCUUCUCUGGAGAAUCCCAUGGACAGAGGAGCCUGGAGAGCCCUAGUCCAUGGGGUUGAAAAGAGCUGGACACCUUUGAGUGACUAACACUUCACUUCACUUCAACAUAUUAGCUCAUGUAAUUCCUACAAUAAUGGCAAAGUGGUAGCUCUCACUCCAGGGGUAAAUCAGAAUCACCCAAGCAGUGAGCCUGAUUCAGAAGGUGUGGUGUGAGACUGGGACAUGUGUAAUCCCUAAAAGCUGCACAGGUAAUCCUGAUGCCCAGCCAACACUACACAUCAGCACUGUAGGCAAAGCACCAGCACCCCUACAGGUGUGGGAGUAAGAAUUCAGCAAAAUCUCUACCCUGGAAAUUGACUAAAUGUCAAUUGAGAGAUUCUGAUAUAUGUGCCAGAGUUCAGGGGAGGAAAAGCUCCCUCUAAGCCAGUAAGUUGGAGAAGGUUACCAGGAGACAGUGGGACCUCCAAAGAUGAGGAAGACUUGAAUAGAGAACCCAGGGAGCAAUGUAGCCAGAAGGGCGCAGCAUGAACUGGGGUGGAAGAAGACGGAACACUUGUCAAAUUCACGUGUCACAUUUGUCAGAGGACAGGCUGAUCUCUAGUUUGUGGCCAAAUUAGUACACGACAAAGGGAAGUUUUCACAUUUUUGGAGUUUUCUCAUCUUGAACCAAUGAUUGAAGAAACUGAGGUUUGUUUCCAGAACUGGGUGAAUCAGUGCUAUCUGAUACUCCCGAUACUUUGCUGAAACUAUUCCCCAAGCUUCCUCUUUGAACACAAAGGGGAUUUUAAGAGGCAAUGAUUGGGGCUUUCACAUACUUGUGUUUUAAAAAUCAGAAUAAUUGUGUGGAAAAACCCUAUGAGAUCACCUUUCUGCUCUACCCGAGCUGUGGUGGGGGACGAGGCAGGGGGUGGUACAUAAUGAUCAUCUCAGAGAAGCAGGUGUUUCCAUUCCUUCUCAAAGCUAACACACAUAAACCCAAUAAAAUCCAGCCAGGCUGCAAAAGUGAUUAGGAGAAAGAUUAGAAACAACCUGAAGAAUAUGGAGAACGUUUGUCAGUUGACUGUGGCAUGCCUUCUGUUCUCUGGUGGUACACGUGAAAUACAGAAUGGCUGAAAAUGUACAUCCUAAGACUGGCAAGACAAUGCGGAUUUCACUGAACAAAUCAGGAUUGCUACGACAGGGGGUUCAUGAAGAGUUCUUAUGUGACAAACUUACACAGCUGUAAAG
ensembl:lncRNA